AAAAUAAUCAGCAGAUUGAUAAUGAAAAUAAUCGUUAGUUAUAGCCCUAGAAUACAGGCACGUUUAUAACACAGAAGUAUUUCAUGUUUUUUGUAAUGUCUGUUUGGGUUGAAAAUAAUCAGAUGUGAAUACAAGAUUCACAACAUUGCACUGGGUAAUAACAUCCAUUAUAUUUCACAGUACUGAGGAUGAUCAUUGAAAAAAAAAUACAGUGGUGGUAGCCCGCUGUGAUGAUCAACAACAUGUUUUGAAUAGCUUUUAAUUAUCACAUUAUCACUGUUUUCACACAAAACAUCCUCUGAUAAAGCAGCAAAGAGCUGUAAGAACCACAAAUCAGUGCAGGAAUACAUCAGCCACUAUAAGCCACUGAGGCAGUGAUCCAUUUAAUUGAGGACACAAAGGGUUGAAGUGAAAGGGUCAAGCACUGCCCAGAGUGCAGUUCAUGUUAGACCUAUACAGGACGAGGCAGCAGCGGAGUCAUCCACAUGAACAUAAGUGUUCAUACGCUCCUCAACAGAAAGCGACUGUAUGUUGCCUCCUGUUUGGCGAUCAUGGAGAACAUGUGUGCUCACUAACAGCUUGCCUUGCUGCAGCUAUGUGAUUAUACAUGUCUGUUCACAUGUGAGUUGCCACAGUGCAUCAACUUAAUUAAUGCGAAUGUGCUCGGAGCAGCCUGCAGUCAUUCCUGCCCACGGUAGAGAGGCUGUUACAUCACUCACACACAGAAAAACACACAGCUAUUUAGAGACAUUUUCGUGCCUUUAUGGAAUAAUGUUCUCCUUGGAAUAUCCAAGAUAAAUCCAUCUUCAUUUAUUGUACUUGGUGAGCCAUUCCUGCCCUUUUUUUCCCCUCCUUUAUUUUCUUUUUCAGAGCUGUUUCAUCGGGGCGCUCUGUGCUGUGGAGCUGCAGCUGCUGAGCCACACACUGACUUCUGGCUGCAUUCAUUAGCUCCUGUGUUUCUAGGAGGGUCUGGAUAACAACCCUGUGCAGGCUUUCAGCCCUCAUCUGUGUCUCUCCUCCCCCUGCCUCCGUGCCAGGCUGCAGGAGUAGAGCUCAGACGGUGUGUGUGGUCCCCCCCCCUCCUCCUCCCCUUGGGGGCACAAGGGCACUGGGUGGGCAGAGGGAGGGGGGAAGAUUCUGGGUGCUCAGUGGCCCCUUCUUUAAAAUGUUGUUAUGCACAAAUGUGUCCUCCCAAACAAAAGCAGUGUUUCCUCUAGGAUUUUUUUUCAGCAGCAGGGGGAAAGAGUUUUGUUGUACCUGGGUCUUCGUUUUCUCUCCUUUCUCCUCCACUCUCAUCUCUUUUUGCACUCUCUCCCGAUUCACUCUGCUCUCACCUCCACUACCGCUGCCCGUCUACUUGUCUAAUAAGGUUACAUUUGAGAAUGAGUAACAUUAGAUAAUUCUCUCACAUCACAAAUAUUUGAUCAAGCAACCAAUAAGAACAUUAAAAUAUUGUAGUUGCCACCACUAACGUUACAUAUUUUAGAACCAGAGGGCAUUUCUUUCACUUCAAAAUUUCACAGCAUAGCUAAGAACAUUAGCCCCUCCCUAGCUAAAGUAACGUUAGCUUACCCAUCAACAUCAGACAUCUUCCUCUUCUUGGAGAAACAAACUCACCUGAAAAGGAAUAUUUUAAUACAUAGCUUAUAUAAACAUCGUUGGCAAUUAUUUUACCAAUGUUUGUUAGUAAUGUUACCGGUAUUAUGAUUCGCUGAGUUUGCUAAUGUUAAUGUUUACCUUGCUAACGUUAGCUAGAACUUUAUUUCACAAUAUAUUGUGGCUCCGCAGAGUCAUGUAAUUGCGACUUUAUGACAUUUCAUACAAUUCUGAAGCAGUAGCGGCAACAAAAUGUAUAUAACAGAAACACUGAGAGGGAAAAUAAUCUGGGUGCCAAAGUUUUUUUUUUUCCUGAAAGCUUUAAUGAUUAUCUUUUGUUUCAUCCGUUGAAAUAAUUUGGCCUGGAAAAGACAUGAUGUGCUCUGUGACCCCAAGGCAGUGCUUGAAUUAAAUAGCCCCCCCCCACCCCCCCAAAAAAAUAAAUCAGAGAAUGUAGCUGUGAACGUACAGUUGUGACAAGCCUUUGACUGCACAGUUUUAUUUGCAGUCUCCAAGGCAUUUCGUGAACCUUGACAUUACUCACGGUUGGCUGCAUUUCUUCAUGUGUCACAACAGUUUAUAGUCUGUCCUCUGGAUGCUCGCGAAGUCGCCGAAACAAAGCCUGGGUCGUUAGUAAGGGAGGAAACCCCGAAAGACCAACCAUUUUCAUUUUCGUUUGUGAGACAGGAAAUGUUCAGACGUCUUCUCUUCUUCAGUUUAUCAUUACGUUUCUACAACUGUCACACCAUGGAUGUCACUAUGGACUGUUUGUGGCUUCAGUAAAUUCUUGUAAGUUUCCUUUUGGAGGGUAAUUGUGAAUAUUUUAGUUCAAAUUCAUACUUCUGCUUGUGAGUACCAACAACACCGUGUGUGCUUGCUAGUUUCUAGUAGGUCAUGUAUUUUUUUACGAGGUUCUAGUCUCAUAAGGUGUUGUCAACUUUAGCUCUCCCACUAUAAAUGUUACACAAAGACGCUGUCUGCUCAGGCAGGCUGCAACCAUCACGUCUAUAAAAAUUGAUAACAAACUCCUACUUCUGAAUGACAGCAAGCAUGACGAGUCUUCAGUGUCGGACUGCGACUCUGACUCAUAUGAAGAAAUUUUCCAUAUAGCAGAUAGAGAGCAACCGGUCCUUCUCUGGGUCAGGCCGACUUCUCCUCGUGGUCGUUCUCAUGAGAACGGGUGCUAAAAUAAACAAUCUUAUAGCAAGAUCCCUGAUUAUGAUAUGACUCGAGCCAAGGCUGUCUGGUAAACAGAUCCUUAUCAUUACUAUUAAGUAGGUGUUGUUUACGGCUCUUCCUUCAGACUUUGGGUGACAUUUCACAGUGUCAACUCCAUGUGCUAAGACUGUAUCCCAAAUGUCUCCUUAAUCGAUAAAGUGUCAAUAAAUUCUUUUGCUCAAGACAUCCAAGGUCUCCUGGUAUUUCUGAAUUACCCAGCUCCAAGAUUUCCAUCACAAAUCAUACAGUGAGGAUUCAUCGUCAAUCCUCACAUCAUCCGUCAGGCCCCGGCCUGUCAGGAAAGAAGACUCUUUCAAGCUGAACCAACAAACUUUGCAUACUGGCGUCUCCAAACAGCAGCAAAGCAUCCCUGAAAACUAUUUGAACUUCAAAAACCCAGAAAUCCUGUCAGGUCCGCUGUCAGACCCAGUGCCCGUGUGUUAUCUGUCUCCACCACUGAGCGCCUUAAGGAAAUGUGGCUCACAGCUCGAGCUUUGAUUUGCAGCAGGACAUCAUCAAGACUGAAGAACCAGACCCAACCUCAAAACUGAUUCAUCCAGGCUGCAUUCUAGCUACUUUGUUAAAAUGGAGAUGGUCAUGUGAGGAUUUAGUACAGAAUGUCCUGAUCACGCUUUCCGUCUGUGUGACGUCUGAGGUCGUGCACUCUUCUGUCUUGGAGUGUUUGAAGUAUUCCUGGCUGCGCUGAUGAGUAACUCUGUUACAAGGUCAUGCCUCCUGCAAUCAGACAUGAAAAAUACACCAAGCUGUCGGCAUAACUGAGAAUCUACUCGACUGACUCAGAAGCAGCACUUAAUACCAUUAACAGAAAGCUGUAAAGAACAAAACUAUGACUGAGAUGAACUUCAAGAUGUCAAAAUCUACACAGCGGCCACAACUGAUGCUCUGAUCAGAGUAAAUAGAGCAUGCUGUAGAAUAAACUCCUUAUGAAUAUGUUGCAUAUGGCCAACAGGGCAGUGAGUCAGGCUGUUACAGACUGCUGUGACACAGCAAAGAGCCUGGAUGCAGUGUCCAACACAGAAGGACAAAAAAGUGGCAACCAUGUCUGACAGGCUAACAUCCCAUCCCAUCGGCGUAAAUGUCCCCAAAUAGAAGCUAAUUGCAACAGGAAACAGCAUUUUUUUUUUUUUAGCAAAGUGGUGAGCCCGGACAGAAAAAGACAUGUGAUGCGACCAAGUGAUAUAUCCAUGUGAAAACGUUUCUGUCACCAGGGCCAUGUGCACAUUUGACACAACGUCGCACGCUGGCCUGAUAAUGUCAAUAUAAUUUCCUUCAUCUCCUGUCAGCUCGACGCCCGCUCCUUGUCACAGAAACAGGCUGGAAAUGGAGAACUCCCACACUCUCUGUGACAGCGCUGGAGCUGUAUAAACAAACCCCUCGGAGUCAGUAAUUCAGGGGUAUCCAGAGUUUCUCCCCUGCAAUCUGCUGCUAAAUCUGCUAAACUUGCUUUAAUCCACACUGCUCUUUUUUUUAACGUUGGUCUGAACAGGUAGUCUGGGUGACUGGAGAUCAGGUAGGAACUUUUUUUUGCUUCCAGGAAUAGAAAAUCAACCGUUAUUUGAUAAUCACUUUUGUGGUGUCCUUGAGAAAAAACAUUAAAAUUUUAUAAUUCAGACCCACAAUACAGUAGGUGUGAAAACCUGUUGUGGUUUGAUGGAUUCACAUGUUGGUGUGUCAUCAGCUACUGAGGUGCCCUUAAUCAAUGUUAGUAACCUUCAACUCCUCCAGAGCAGCUAUGUGGGCAAAAAGAAUGACUGGUUUUACUGGGGAGUUUGAAGGAGUCCAACCUGUGUUAAUAUAAAACAGGAUGAUUCCUCAAACUGCUCCCUGAAAACACUUGAUGGUAAAAAAAACCCCCCAUUAAUGCUGAGUGAUCCGGGCCAGGCACGGCACACAGAUUUGUGUAUCUUCCUGGUGAGUCAUGUGGCUUCAAAUAAUCUGCCAUCAUGUAACCCAGCAACGGCACAUGAAGCCAAGUCUUACUAGAAAGGAGGGAAUAAAAAUGAACUGAAACCCCCUCCUCAUCCAUCACGCAUGUAAAUUUGUCAGGUCCAGCUUGACACACGUCCUGCAGGAGGACAAUGCACAUGCCAACUCCACAAAAACGUGCAGCCCUCAGCGUCCUCCUUGGACUCACCCAAAGAAAGUCAUUAUGAUGAUAUAUGUUGGCGUAAUCAGAUUAAUUCAGGAGCUAAUUUGUUGCUGUCAAGUGUGCCUGGCUGCCGUCAGUAGCACACACAGAUCCAUAACUUAUCGAAAGCUGAUUAACACAUCAAUCCUCCUGCUAAGAACGCAGAGCUGGGUGGUUGUCAGGAUUACUUAAGUGUGAGCGGAGGACUGAGGCAUCCAGACGCCAGAGCCUUGCAUUAACUCUCACUCCUGUCACUAGCUUUACUUUUUAAAAUAGAUUUUUUGCCUUCACAUAAUAAUUCAUCGUAUUUAAUACAAUUAAAACAGUAUGUUGUACUAUGGUAAACAUAAAGGACAGGAUAUCGAGGUAGACGGUCUGAGAUUCUGCCUCAACAGCGACUUCUGUGUGAACUGGAUGUCAUCAAAGGAUGCAGUUGGCUCUGACCUUUGACCCCUCCAGUGAAAUGUGUCCAAAUCUGAUAUCUCCAGAGUAACUUGUUUCCAUUUGAAGUUUAAUCUAAAGCACUCAGUCAUGUGUUGCUUCUUUUCAGCUCCCUAGGGAACUCAGACUGAACAAUGCCUCCCGGUGGUGUUUUUUGGCAGUCAGGCAACAUCCAAAAAUGUUCCCACCAUCGGCUAACGAGCUGUACUUUUUGCCACUGCAUGAGCCAAGUAGACAAACUGAGAAGGCAUACAAACCUCUGCAGUAGGCCUGGUCUCGUGCGGCUGUGGCAGGAUGGUAAAUAGGAGCUGGCGUGAUAGGUCCUGACAGCAGCACAGUCUUGGCCAUGAGCACAAACUGGCUCGCUUACGUAACCAGCCCAUUGUUACCGCCCUGUUACUGCCAUUAACAUUCAUAGGAAUCACAUGAAAUUGUGCCCCAAAACAAGUGUUUGCUGCAGCAGCAGGAGAUGCAAGGAGGAUUGGUCAAAGUCAGGAAAGAUGAUAUUUCAAUGAGACACAUGGUUAGACGAACACAGCGAGACCAGUGGAUUGUUGGGUCUCAUCCCAGCUUGUAAGUCACUGCACUGUUGGAGAGCAGACUGCUUUCCAAAAAGCACAAUGAAGGCAGCUCUCUGUUAACCGCUUGGAACUGCUCGGCUGACCUAACACAAACACCUCUUCACACCUUUAAGGCUCCGCUGGCGCUUCAGCACCUGUUCAUAGCACUUGUGCUAUCAAUAGGUGAUCACAGGAGGAUUAUUUAUAGCUGUUACAUCUGUGAAGAGACAGACACACUUCUUUAAAGUAUCAGUUCACAGCCAUUUUGUCUUGUGAUCCUCGUCGCAGGCUGCCUGUGAACUUGUGAAAAGUUGAAUUUAAAGAGCACAUUUCUCUUUUCAGGUUUUCUGUUUGAUGUGAUUCAAGGGGCCAGAGAGGCUAAACACUUAUUAGCAUUUUAAAGAUAGGACAGCAAAAAUUUGCAGAGAAAAUAUGAAUGAAACCAAAUUUAGUAAACUCAUUUUCUAUCCUGUGAGAUGUUCUUAAACAAAUCUUGCACUCUUAGAGGCAGACACCCACAGGCACUUGACAAGAAGUGCUUAUCCAUAAAGAUUAAACAAACUGUACUUAGUGACAUGAUUAGUAAGCUAAUAGAAAAAAAGUGAAAAGUAAAAGGUUCUAUCACAGAAUAAGACUACAUACUAUGUUGUAGUUUGAAUUACCGGGAAAAUCUAGUCAGAGAAUAGAUAACAAACACUCACCCUCUUUCUCACCUAUUACCAGGUGUCCUCAAACAAAUAGGUUCAGACUGUUCAAGUCUUUCUUAAUACAAUACUCACAUGCCCAUAUGUACAUUGAGUUGUAGGUCCCUGUAGUGAUUAUUUGGCCGUGAAGGGACAGACUACCUUCAUGACUCCACUGUAAGACGUGGGGAAUAAAUCCAGUCCUUAUUCAGUACAAAUAAAGAUGAAGCCAAUAUGGGACUCCUGCAGUCUGAGCUAGCCAAAUGAAAAUGGUAUUAUCCAAAGUAAGUAGUAUGAAUUCCAUCUGUUUCAAUGGACAGUGUUUUUUUGCAGAGCUGCAGUGGAGGGAUAGUAAAGCAAAUUUUGGACAAAAAGAAAAGACUGAAUAACUCUGCUGAAGUCUUUUAUUAGCUUUGGUUGAACUUUAAAACACAUCUUUGCACAGAACAAAGACUGUGAACUCUGUCCCUUCACUCUAUGAAGCUGGCAGAAAGUAUGGAGAGGAGGAAUUACUACACUGACCUAUAACUCAACUUAUACAAUAUGAGUAUUUUAUCAAGACAGACUUCAAAAAACAUCUGAAAUAAUCCUUUAACCUUUACCUGCUGAAGUAGAGAGCUCAGUAACCUGAAUAUAAACCAGCUGGGGAAUGAAAACGAGCUGUUAAAUUAACUGAAAAUUUGUAAUUCCAUUAUGAAAAGGUAUAAAUUGUUAAAACUGUCUA